rnacentral:rRNA from 1 species
GACGUAGGGUCCAAGCGUUGUCCGGAUUUACUGGGCGUAAAGAGCGCGUAGGCGGCUUGAUAAGUGUGAUGUGAAAUCUCCAGCGCUCAACCCGGAAACUGCUCUGCAUACUGGCAGACUGGAGUGAUGCAGAGGUUUGUGGAAUUCCUGGUGUAACGGUGAAAUGUGUUGAUAUCAGGAGGAACACCCAUGGCGAAGGCAGCAAACUGGGCAUUAACUGACGCUGAGGCGCGAAAGCGUGGGUAGCAAACAGG